rnacentral:rRNA from 1 species
AGGAUGAACGCUGACAGAAUGCUUAACACAUGCAAGUCGACUGGAAUUCUUCUUCGGAAGAUAGUACGGUGGCGGACGGGUGAGUAACGCGUAAAGAAUUUGCCCUUUAGACUGGGACAACUAACCGAAAGGUUAGCUAAUACCGGAUAUUAUGAGACCUUGGCAUCAAGGACUUAUGAAAGCUAUAUGCGCUGGAGGAGAACUUUGCGUCCCAUUAGGUAGUUGGUAGGGUAAUGGCCUACCAAGCCGACGAUGGGUAGCCGGCCUGAGAGGGUGAACGGCCACAAGGGGACUGAGACACGGCCCUUACUCCUACGGGAGGCAGCAGUGGGGAAUAUUGGACAAUGGACCAAAAGUCUGAUCCAGCAAUUCUGUGUGCACGAUGAAGGUCUUCGGAUUGUAAAGUGCUUUCAGGUGGGAAGAAGAAAGUGACGGUACCACCAGAAGAAGCGACGGCUAAAUACGUGCCAGCAGCCGCGGUAAUACGUAUGUCGCAAGCGUUAUCCGGAAUUAUUGGGCGUAAAGCGAGUCUAGGCGGCUUGUUAAGUCAGAUGUGAAAAUGCGGGGCUCAACUCCGUAUUGCGUUUGAAACUGGCAGGCUAGAGUACUGGAGAGGUGGGCGGAACUACAAGUGUAGAGGUGAAAUUCGUAGAUAUUUGUAGGAAUGCCGAUAGUGAAGACAGCUCACUGGACAGAUACUGACGCUAAAGCUCGAAAGCGUGGGGAGCGAACAGGAUUAGAUACCCUGGUAGUCCACGCCGUAAACGAUGUUCACUGGGUGUAGGGGGUCGAACCUCUGUGCCGAAGCUAACGCGAUAAGUGAACCGCCUGGGGAGUACGCACGCAAGUGUGAAACUCAAAGGAAUUGACGGGGACCCGCACAAGCGGUGGAACAUG